AGUGAACGCUGGCGGUAGGCCUAACACAUGCAAGUCGAACGGCAGCACAGAGGAGCUUGCUCCUUGGGUGGCGAGUGGCGGUCGGGUGAGGAAUACAUCGGAAUCUACUCUGUCGUGGGGGAUAACGUAGGGAAACUUACGCUAAUACCGCAUACGACCUACGGGUGAAAGCAGGGGAUCUUCGGACCUUGCGCGAUUGAAUGAGCCGAUGUCGGAUUAGCUAGUUGGCGGGGUAAAGGCCCACCAAGGCGACGAUCCGUAGCUGGUCUGAGAGGAUGAUCAGCCACACUGGAACUGAGACGCGGUCCAGACUCCUACGGGAGGCAGCAGUGGGGAAUAUUGGACAAUGGGCGCAAGCCUGAUCCAGCCAUACCGCGUGGGUGAAGAAGGCCUUCGGGUUGUAAAGCCCUUUUGUUGGGAAAGAAAUCCAUCUGGUUAAUACCCGGAUGGGAUGACGGUACCCAAAGAAUAAGCACCGGCUAACUUCGUGCCAGCCGCCGCAGUAA
rnacentral:rRNA from 1 species